rnacentral:rRNA from 2 species
GGGUGAUGGCCUACCAAGGCGACGACGGGUAGCCGGCCUGAGAGGGUGUCCGGCCACACUGGGACUGAGAUACGGCCCAGACUCCUACGGGAGGCAGCAGUGGGGAAUAUUGCACAAUGGGCGCAAGCCUGAUGCAGCGACGCCGCGUGAGGGAUGACGGCCUUCGGGUUGUAAACCUCUUUCAGUACCGACGAAGCGUGAGUGACGGUAGGUACAGAAGAAGCACCGGCCAACUACGUGCCAGCAGCCGCGGUAAUACGUAGGGUGCGAGCGUUGUCCGGAAUUACUGGGCGUAAAGAGCUCGUAGGUGGUUUGUCGCGUUGUUCGUGAAAACCUGAGGCUUAACCUUGGGCGUGCGGGCGAUACGGGCAGACUGGAGUACUGCAGGGGAGACUGGAAUUCCUGGUGUAGCGGUGGAAUGCGCAGAUAUCAGGAGGAACACCGGUGGCGAAGGCGGGUCUCUGGGCAGUAACUGACGCUGAGGAGCGAAAGCGUGGGGAGCGAACAGGAUUAGAUACCCUGGUAGUCCACGCCGUAAACGGUGGGUACUAGGUGUGGGUUUCCUUCCUUGGGAUCCGUGCCGUAGCUAACGCAUUAAGUACCCCGCCUGGGGAGU